AUGUAAUAGCGGUUUGGUUGUGCAUGAACAGCAAAUGCAUCCGGUGCUGGUUUGUUAACAUGCAGGGGCUGCCACUAUCCUCCUUAAGGAUAACAAGGAUGUCAGUUUCCAGCAGAAUAAUCCAGGAAGAACCCCAGGUCUUACUAUUAAGAAACGCAAUGAGGUUGUGACCAUUAGGCUCAAAGCUGUGGAGAAAGAUGUCUGGCCAGGAGAAAUACUGAUGUUAUGCUUUACUGAUGUUGUUGCCAACACCUACAAACCAUUCACUACAACUACCACAACGAACAAUAAAAUCUGAGCUACCUUUGUGAAAGAGGCCAAGAGAGGAUUGGAUGGUGGAGUUUCAGAUGACACAAUGCUGACUGUUUCCACCCAGAUGAUUUUGCUUUCUACUGGCAGCAGAAGGAAGUCUUCACUUUUAUUUUAAACAAUUCAGUUUUAAUGCCACCAAUUUAUCAAGAUAACAUGUAACUGAACAUAUUGAAAUUACACCAACUUCCUUCAUUAACACAAACUAUCUGUGUACCUGGAGCAUCAGCUUGAACAGUAUACUAUUUCAACUACCAUUUCCUCAUAUUCAAACAUUACUAGAAAGGUCUGAAAGGCAAUCAUGAUAUCUUAAGUGAUAAAUGAAGAAUGAUAAACUC